rnacentral:rRNA from 1 species
AGUGAACGCUGGCGGUAGGCCUAACACAUGCAAGUCGAACGGCAGCACAGUAAGAGCUUGCUCUUACGGGUGGCGAGUGGCGGACGGGUGAGGAAUACAUCGGAAUCUACUUUUUCGUGGGGGAUAACGUAGGGAAACUUACGCUAAUACCGCAUACGACCUACGGGUGAAAGCAGGGGAUCUUCGGACCUUGCGCGAUUGAAUGAGCCGAUGUCGGAUUAGCUAGUUGGCGGGGUAAAGGCCCACCAAGGCGACGAUCCGUAGCUGGUCUGAGAGGAUGAUCAGCCACACUGGAACUGAGACACGGUCCAGACUCCUGCGGGAGGCAGCAGUGGGGAAUAUUGGACGAUGGGCGCAAGCCUGAUCCAGCCAUACCGCGUGGGUGAAGAAGGCCUUCGGGUUGUAAAGCCCUUUUGUUGGGAAAGAAAAGCAGCAGGUUAAUACCCCGCUGUUCUGACGGUACCCAAAGAAUAAGCACCGGCUAACUUCGUG